CCACAGUUCUGCAUCUGGGUCGUUCACCUGCAAUGCCAGAACACCGGGCGUUAGCAGACACCGCGUGGUGCCGCAGUCCUGCUCCGUGCAGACGCUGCUGGGCGGCGGGGCCACACGAGGGCCUAGAGGGUCGGCGGGGUCGGGGCGGGGGGUGGCCCGGGGCCGCUGGCCGAGCGCAGCCACACGCCGGAGCACAGAACCGCACGGAAGUCGGACAGAGGGAGGCCAACCCCGGGAAGACCGCAGGGCUCAAAGACUCCACAGUGCUGAAAAUACUUCCAGGCUUACAUAGGAGAACGAGGGACAGGGAUGGGUGUGUGCGUGCAGGUGGCAGUGCAGAGCUGGAGGAACUUUGAGUGCCCGUAAGCAUUAUGGUAAUUUCAUAGUGACGACAGUUCUAUUAGCAUCUUACACAGCUCACAGCUUUUCUGCAGACAGGCUCAUUUAUCUUCAUGGGCUUUUAUUAUAAAAGGUAUUUACAUAUUAUACAUAUUUACAAUUCUUUCCCACCACCAAAACCAACAAAAUUUCCACACGCGUUGCUCAUGAAUUUCUUAUGAACCGAAGACACUGAGAUAUUCACUGCUCUCCCCUCUCACUUGUUUUACAGUCUUUUUUUGUUUUGUAAUUUACCCUCUGAUGAGGCUUUCCCAAGCUCAUUUACACAUCCAUAGGCCUCAACAUUUUUGCUGUUCUAAGGAGUCUUUAUCACUUCAAAUCAUGAGCAUGAGCUCCUGUCCUCCUCUCCUUUUAGCUAAAUCUCCUAAAAUGCUUUAGGGAGUUUUUCCCUCCUGUUGCGUUCCUAUUAAGGAAUGCUUAUUUCAAGAACAUCACCAGCUGGGCUCCUGGCCCUGUGCUGAGCUCUGGAUGAGGAGGGUGGAUUUGCCCUGUGCACUUCCUGAAGGGAGCAUGCAAGCGGGCCAUGGGCUGGCUACCCAGUGGGGAUAAGGGCCAGGCAGAGGACAGGCUCCUUAGUGAGUUCCACUGCCAAAUCAGCCCUGGGAUUAGGGACCAGUGACUACCUUCACUGUCCUAUUCCUUAUCGGAAGAAAAAUAUAAAUAAAUGAAGGAGAGGGUAGUGUUCUAGGCUGAAUCAGUCCCCAUGCCAAUUCAUAUAUAUGUUGAAGUCCUGACCCUAAUGGCAAUUGGGGGGGAGGGCACAGGUUUGGGUAGCAGCCCACAAGAGAACAUGAGUUGGGUUUCUAAAGGCAAAAAGGAAUGUAUGCAUAUGUUAUUUACAAAGAAUUUUGAUUGGUGUUGGCUAGACAUAACGGGUUGCCAAGGCUGUCACUAAGCCAAAGUCCGUUCCUGUAGCACGCGGCAGGUGUUCAUGCAGAGUCCUUGGAAUAUUUCUGACUUGGCCCAGUUUAUAAAUUCUACCCAGUGAGGAUGUGCUGAAAGCCUACCUCUUUAAUGGGCUCCUGGCUCCCUUUGUAAAUCCCCUUGACAUAAGUGACUCCAUUUUAUUUCACCUUUCACCGGAGCUAGGGUCUUAAAAGAGAUAAGUUAAAAUGAGGUCAUUGGGGUGGACCCUAGUCCAAUAUGACUGGUGUCCUUAUAACAAGAGGAGAUUAGGACAUGGCACAUGACACACACAGAGGGAAGGCCCCGUGGCGACACAGCAAGAAGAUGGCCAUCUGCAAGGCCAAGAGAGAGGCCUCAGAAACCAGCCCUGUUGACACCUUGACUUUGGACUUCAGCCUCCAGACUUAUAGUCAAAAAAUAGCUGUCUGUAGUUCAAGCUCCCCAGGCUGUGAUGUGUUGUCAUGGCAGUUCUAGCAAACUAGAACUGUAUAGGGGGUGAUAGUAUCUGCUCUGCCAACCAAAUAAGAGUGCAGGUGGCAAGGAAAGAAUGGUGUGAAAAGUGGCGUGCCAUAAAGCCAUAGUGUAGUUUUAUAGUUUCCACUAUUGUCUGGAACCUUCUAGACCUCUGUAUGGACAUAUGUUUUCAUUUGUGCAGGGUUCAUUCCCCUUCUUAUAGGAUUAGCAUCCCUGUUAUUUGGGAAGGGCCCCUUCUCCCGCUAUUGGGGCAUGGAUACUCAGGGCUGGCCAUGAAGUCCCCUCUCCAGAGAUAGGGAGGUGACCUUGGCCUGCUGGUUGGCAUGACCCAUCCUCCUGACCACAGCAACUGGAUCUGGGAUGGUGUGUGCCUCAAACUGGCCGACCAUAUUGCUAGGACCUGUGUUGGACUAAGGUUGCCAGAUAAAAUACAGGAUGUUAGUUACAUUUGCAUCUCAGAUCAACAAGGAAUAAUUUUUUAGUAUAAACAUAUCCCCAAUAUUUGCAAAUACUGAGAACUGUAGCUGGACUAUGAGAGGGGGGCUUUCUUUUUGCUGAGUGUGUUGGUCUGAUGGCACGUAUGCCAAGGCUGCCAGGAGAAAGCUUUCCUGAAGUUGGAUUCAUGUAGAGGAAUCCAAGCUCAGAGAUAAAGAGGGUGGGUGACAUCCGCCUGCCUGAUGACAUUCCUUGAGGUUCUAGAACCAUCCAUGUCUGUCACUGGGAGCUGCCUCUCCAUAUUUCAGUGUUGUUAGCCAACGAAGUCCCAUCUUUAUAUAUAAGCCUGUGAGUUGGGUUUUUUGUCACUUGUGACUCCAAAUGGUGACUUGAAAAAUCCUGAUUCAGUAGUUAAGUGGAUGCUUAAAAAGCCUGUUUGUUCAGAUUUUGCAAAGACAGGGAAGAGAAGCCUCGUCUGAAAAGUAAUGAGAAAUAAGGUUAAAUGAAGCCAGUAUCCCAGAGAGCUCUUCACAAAGAGUCAUUUCAUCUUCCAUUUUAAUUGCAAUGUCACACUGCUGCAGAGACGGUGCCAUGUGGAUGGAGGCAGGGGCCUGUUGUGCUGGCUUCUGCAGAGAGGCAACUCCGAAGGCCUUCCUCCUGCUGGGCUGUCCCCCAGCUGCCAGGUCGUGACAGCUUCAUGAAAGCAGCGAGAGCCACUGGUGUCAAGUGAGGGGGACCGGCUUCUCCGCCAGAACCUGACAGCGCCUGGGCAGCAUGCGGAGAUCUGUCCUCAGAAGACUUGGAAAUAGAGGUGCUAGUUUUUUCUCUGCAAGUGGGAUUUUGAAUUCAAUGCCAAGAGAUGGAGCAGGGACUGGCAAACUCAUACAAAGACACAGCCGGCCUCCCAGGGCCUCACUUGAGAUUGAGGGAGACCUGGUGAAUGUUGAGCAUCUCUAAAAGGAGUGUCAGCAGAGGGGGAUUGGUGGCUGUGGAAACCCACAGAGUCGUGUCCAUCCGGAGGGCAAGGGCAGGCUCAGCUCAGCCCAGCACAGGCCGGAGAGGUGCUUUGCCCCCCUGGCCACGGACACUCACAUUUCCUCGUCAAGCCAUCCUCAUGGAGCCCGAUGUGGACCAAGAGGCAAUUCACAAGCGCAGUUCCUCUCUUUGCUGUGAUUCUAGAGAGAGUGUGGCCUCACAGCCACCUGGCCUAGGGUGGAGAAUGAGCUGACCUGCCGGCACCACCCAUCUGGUCAAAUUCUUUUCUUACUUUUCUUUUUUCGUGAGAGACACACAGAGAGAGGCAGAGACAUAAGCAGAGGCAGAAGGAGGCUCCCUGUGGGGACUCGAUCCUGGGACCCAGGAACAUAACCUGAGCCAAAGGCAGACACUCAACCACUGAGCCACCCAGGUGUCCCCCAUCUGGUCAAUUUCUAAGUAAGAAAGACACAUUCACUAAACAUUUAUUCCAGCCUCCCUAUGUAUCAGGCGCUAUGCUAAUGACUGACGAUGUGACUGUGAACAGAACAUUCAUGGCCUUACCCGGUGGCGUGGACACACUGAACAAUAAUCACACACACAGUGGCAGGUGAUCCCAGCAGGGGCUUGUGGGAAAGCACAGACGCUCUUGGGGUUGUGUGAAACAAAGAGGAGUCAGAAUUUUUCCAAGGGCUUUGAGAAACUUCCCGGAGAGGGAACUUUUGGGAGGGGCACCCUGAAAGAUGAAAGGGGAGUGCAGGCGAAGGAGGCAUGGGGUGCGGGGGAGUGCACACAGACAGAGGAGCAGGUCGGAAGGCCCUGAAUCCAGAGGCCCAGAAGGGCCGUGUGUGAGUGCAGAGAGAUGAAUUUAGAAGGGUGUGGGCUGGGAUCCCUGGGUGGCGCAGCGGUUUGGCGCCUGCCUUUGGCCCAGGGCGCGAUCCUGGAGACCGGUGCAUGGAGCCUGCUUCUCCCUCUGCCUGUGUCUCUGCCUCUCUCUCUCAUUCUGUGUGACUAUCAUAAAUAAAUAAAAAUAAAAAAAAAUUUAAAAAAAAAAAUAGAAGGGUGUGGGCUGAGGAGGUCAGUUUUCCAUCAAGUGCAAUGAGGAGCCCCCAGAACCCUGAGCUAGGGGUGGCAAGGCACGGGGAGUGCUUGGGGAUACACUGCAAUGCUGCUGUAAGAAAGCUGCUGCAAGAUUGGGUUUGUUGCAGGCGCAGGUGUGUGCGGAUUGUGAAGGUUAACACGUACCGAGCCCUCAGGGUUGCGGCAGUAUUCUGAGCACUGUGUAUACGUGAACUCAUGCUGCCAACAGUUCAGUGGGGCAGGUACUGUCAUGAUCCCCACUGAACAGAUGAAGACACAGAGGUGUGCGCGCUUGUCCUUAAAUCCAGUCCUCGAGAAAGACCCCAGCUCGUCUGACCCGUGACUCGGAAUUGGACUUCUCCAGGUGCAUAGACAGGCUGCCUGUCGGUUUAGGAAAGCGGAGAGGGAGGUAGGCCCCACGCACUCCCUCCCACCCCAUUACCUGGAGACUGGGUGGGGGCGCUUAACGGGUGACCUCCAGGCCCAGCAGAGGCGGCCAGGGCAGGCCUGCUUUGAGCCCUUUUGAAAGACCAGAAAGAUUUUUCUGCCCAUACCCUUGACCUUUGGAGCCUGAUCCCAGGAAGCUGUGCUUGGAAGUGGGAAAAGCCCAGGGACUACGGAGGCCUCUUCUGUCCGCACCCGGCCAGGGCCAGGCUGUUAGGACGGCGGGUGGGCUCUAGGUGGCGGGCUUCUGCAGCCGAUGGAGCCCCGGGCGGGCUGCUUGGAGGCCGACUUCCUGGGGGGCUGCGGAGCCCGGAGUGGCCUGAGCCGAGGACAAACAGAACUUUGUACCAGGAAGUACUGGUGUCUGGACGGGCCUGUGGCCGGGGAGUAGCUGAGUUUGGCUGUGUGCUGGCUGAGCGGCAAAUUGUUUGCCACCCCGAGAUUCCGGGCAAGUCUGAUGCAUCUAAGGGGAGCAGUCACUUCUAGUACUAGGACGAAGGUAAAUAAUGACGAUGACGGCGGCGACCAGGCACUGAGUGUUUACUGAGGGCCCUAGGACAUCCCUCACACCCUAACCUCACUGCAACGUCUGCAUCUCCACAUCUAAACCUGGCACCCCCUCUCCCAUCUCCCAUCCUCCAACACCUGCCCCCGCCCCACUGCUGGCCUGCCUUCCCUGGAGGCACCUUCACCCCCUUCAGUUACUCCUUGGAUUGAUUGCCUAGGCUUGCCUUAGCUGGGUGUCACAGAACUGGGGACCUAAAGAACUGUAUUCUUUCACCAUUCUGGAGACCUCAAGUCCAAAAUCAAGGUGUCCGCAGGGACCCACUCCCUGCCCAAGGCUCUGGGGAGACUCUUUUCUGGCCUCUUUCAGCUUUUGUGGGGUGGCGGUGGGGUCCUUGUGGUCACAUGACUGUAGUCUCAGAUGGACUGGGAUUGUUGGAUUUAGGGCCCACGUGGGUGGUCCAGGAUGAUCUCACCUGCAGAGCCUUAACCCCAGGAUUGGGACCUGAGCCGAAGGCAGACCCUCAACCGCUGAGCCACCCAGGCAUCCCAAAGACCCUGUUUCUAAUAAGAUCACUUUCACAUGUUCCAGGGGCUAGGAGGGAGACAGACCUUUUCAGGGGCCACCAUUCAAUUCACUGACACUCACUGCAGAAACCUAUUGUUAUCCUGGACACCUCCAGCCCCUCCCUCCCCUGUGAAGUCCACUGCCACCCAUUGUGGCUGACUUGUCUGCUCAGUGCCAACACCUGCUCCAGGCCAUCAGCAUUUCUUCCCUAACUUCCUCACUGGUUUCCCUGUGUCCACCUGUUGUGGAUCAAACUGUGGCCCCAUUGCCAUGACUCACAUAUUGAAGCUCUGACCCCCACCCCCAGUGGUGAUUGCUUUGGGAAAUGGGGACAUUCACGAGAUAAAGUUCACGAGAUCACACGGGUGGGGCCCUGAUCUGAUAGGACUGACGUCCUUAUAGGAAGAGCUACCAGAGGGACACCUGGAUGGCUCAGCUAUUGGGCAUCUGCCUUCAGCUCAGGGCAUCAUCCUGGGUUUGGGAUUUAGUUCUGGCCCCACGUCAGGCUUCCUGCAAGGAGCCUGCUUCUCCCUCUGCUCUCUCUUUCUGUGUCAUGAAAAAAUAAAAUCUUGAAGAAGAGGAAGAGGAAGAGGAGGAAGAAGAAGAGGAAGAGGAAGAAGAAGGAAGAAGAAGAAGAAGAAAGAACUACUGGAGCUAGCUCUCCAUGCAGGAAUGGUGGAAAGCCACAUUAAGGACACAGUGAAAAGCUGGCCAUCUACAAGCCAGGAAGAGAGAGCUCUCCAGAGAGCAAUCACUGCCAGCCCUCCUCCCCCCCCAACACCACCGGUGUCACCUUGGUCUCAGACCUCCUGUCUACAAAACUGUGAGAAAAUAAAUUCCUGUGGCUGCA